UGAGCUAUGGAGGGCCUUUGGCAGGCCUCUCCUUUUGUCUCCAGCUGGGACAGUGUUCCACUCGUCUGCUCCAUUCCGUGCAGCAGCCCCACCGGCCAGAACAAAACACUGUUUCAUCACCACUACGGCUGCCGAAUGGUGCUCACUAGGGAUGUUGACAUCCACAUCGCAAGAGGCUGCGAUACCGUUCUAGAUUCACUAUAGAUGGGUUAGCUGACAACGUCACGAAAAUGAUGUGCACGCUGCCAUAGUGCAGAAGUCAGCGUGUUGUUGAAAUUCUGGAUGGCCAGAUUGCUAGAAAGAACAAGAAACUGACAUGUGGGGAAUCCAUGGUAAGGAGACGAACAAGCAGCACUUCAGCUUAAAAUUGUCUGGAGCCUGGUGUUGUGGCCAUGGAGUUUUCACUCUGAUGGAACUAGAUUUCAGCUGCUGCGCAAUGAUGAUGUCCUUCCUCCCAGAGAUGAGCAAGCAUCCCUUGGACUGGACAAAACCAGGCAAACAUAUUUUUGAGAAGAUCAGGACUUUUGCAAUGAAAAGGCCAUAGACAAUUACACGUCCUGCUCCAAAGGGCAAGAUAGAAAUAUGUUCAGUUUGUUCAUAUCAUAACUUGAACAAAAGUCACUCAAAGGAUCUCAUGAUAAAAGCCUAGAUAGUGUUUUACCUAAGCCCUUGUGUUAAGGUCUCUGAUUUUAGGCUACUACCUUUAGCACUUGAAUUUAAUCAAAUAUUUUAAUCUUGAAAUAUUUUCACAGUCACGUGAAUUCUUGGUUGGUCUUAAGGCUUAACGGGUUUAAAACAAAGCAGCACUGUAGUUCAAUGUGAAAAGUGUUUUAUUAUACAACAAUAGGCAAUUUAAUACUGUUAAUGGUUUGCCUAAUCAGGGAACUUGGUGAGAUAAUGUACAGAGAAUUCAUUUUGGCAAUUUGGUGAAAGUGUUCCUUUUCUAAAUAUACGUUUUCCAAGGAUUAAUGUGGAGCACGUGAAAAUCGCAGCUAAAUGUUUGAAUGCCCUUUUCUCCUAAACGGGAUAAGGUUAUUAACUUAAACCAGCAUUACUUCCAUGUUUUCUCCAACUACAGUGUAUGAUGUACCAUUUUGAAGCUCAGUCUAUAAUUUUAUUCAAUGUAAAAUACAACUUCAAAUUUUGAGACAUGAGACCGAAAAGAGA